AGAUUGAACGCUGGCGGCAUGCCUUACACAUGCAAGUCGAACGGUAACAGGUUAAGCUGACGAGUGGCGAACGGGUGAGUAAUAUAUCGGAACGUGCCCAGUAGUGGGGGAUAGCCCGGCGAAAGCCGGAUUAAUACCGCAUACGACCUACGGGUGAAAGGGGGGGAUCGCAAGACCCCUCGCUAUUGGAGCGGCCGAUAUCAGAUUAGCUAGUUGGUGGGGUAAAAGCUCACCAAGGCGACGAUCUGUAGCUGGUCUGAGAGGACGACCAGCCACACUGGGACUGAGACACGGUCCAGACUCCUACGGGAGGCAGCAGUGGGGAAUCUUGCGCAAUGGGCGAAAGCCUGACGCAGCGACGCCGCGUGGGGGAUGAAGCUUCUCGGAGUGUAACCCCUUUCGACCCGGACGAAACGCCCGCAAGGGCUUGACGGUACGGGUAUAAGAAGCCCCGGCUAACUACGUGCCAGCAGCCGCGGU
rnacentral:rRNA from 1 species